CCUUCACAUGCAAGUCGAACGGCAGCACGGGGGCAACCCUGGUGGCGAGUGGCUAACGGGUGAGUAAUGCAUCGGAACAUGUCCGGAAGUGGGGGAUAACGUACCGAAAGGUACGCUAAUACCGCAUAUGCCCUGAGGGGGAAAGGGGGGGAUCGUAAGACCUCUCGCUUUCGGAGUGGCCGAUAUCGGAUUAGCUAGUUGGUGGGGUAAAGGCCUACCAAGGCGACGAUCCGUAGCUGGUCUGAGAGGACGACCAGCCACACUGGGACUGAGACACGGCCCAGACUCCUACGGGAGGCAGCAGUGGG
rnacentral:sRNA from 1 species